CAUGAUUACGUCUACCCUGUCUACUCUAUUAUGUGCAUGCGUCCUCCCUGAAAUGCAGGAAUGGGAAAGAAUUGAUCGCUGCAGACAGCGAGAUAGGGGCUGCUUGCAUUUGCCAUUUGAAAUCUUUACUGGAUUGGAAAGGCAGGAGGACACUCGCAGUUGGACUGCCGGAGCUUUUGCAUUGUAUUGACCAAAGGUUUUCCGAGUGAGGCACUUCAGAAGGGAAGGUUUCGUAUGGCCUGACCUGGAGCAGCCUCAUUUAAACUUCUGCAAUCUGCCAAGAUCACAGCUGGAGUUGGAGUUGCUGCAGGAUGCUUGUUGUUUCAAUUCCAGUCCUCCUUUGCAGCAGCACAGGUAAACACCUCUGCUACAGGAGGAAGUGAAGUGCUUGCGUAAGGACAUGGAAACUUGAGAGAUCAGAGCUGGGAUCUCUGAAGUGUAUACCAGGACUGAGCUUCCUGCAGUCAUAAAAUUAGACCGAUCACUGUCAUCCCCCUGUAACAGCAACAAGAGGAAAAUUUGAAGAAGUGUAAAUUUUUGUCGCUGUUCAAUUCAGUCAAUCAGUUCCAAAUCUCUGGGAAAGAAAUUCAUAAUACAACUUACAGUGUUUGUGUGACAUAAUUAAAAAACCUGUGCAUGUUAUAUUUGAAAAUAGCUGCUAUUAUAUGAAAUGUUAAACUGCUUCUUUUGGUUUGCUGGAUUUGAUAUCACUGCAUUAGACCGAGGGAAAAAUGGCAUGACCCCCUUCGAUUUAGGAUGACCCAUUUCACUCAUUAAGGCUGUACUUUGCUUGUACUUUGCGGUAAGCAUGUAGCUGGGGCUAUGCCUUCUGAAAGCAAACCAAACACUUCUAAAUCAGGAAAAUGGUGAGGCAGAGUGUUUAUGAUCCAUGUACUGACUAUCGGGGUUUUAGAAUAAAGAGUAAAUAUCCCUAUGAUACUGAAAUUCCUGUUAUGUAAAAAACCAAUAAUACUAUGUAAGGUCUGCUAAGUGCUUUUUACAUUUUUUAUGUGUGUUUCCUAUAAAAACAAUGAAUACUUUUAGGGGUGAUAGUGUUUUCCCUGUUACCCCUUAAUGUAGGUUAUGAGAAAAAAACCAUGAAGUGCCUUUUAUUAUACAGGAAAUGUACUUGAAGUGUAGAAUGUUUGGGAAUGAAUGCCUCCUUUACUGCUAUAAAUUGUUCAUGAUAUGUCUUUUCAUAUAUGCAUCAAACAUAGCACUUGCUGCAGAGAUGCAUGUGAUUUGUCUUCUCUCCUGAGAGAUGGUAAUUGGCUUCAGUUUACUUAGGCUACUGCAGUGCAAUUUAUUUUCUUAGCUUAGGCAAGCCUCAUGUUGCAGUAUGUUUUCUUCUAUGAGGGUGCAGUAUUUAAUUUGUAAAGUGGUGCAGAGUAUGUGUUACAUUACAAAGAUGAAGCACAUCCCUGCUCUGUGGUGUUUAGUGGAAACAGAUCACAGCACUUCACCAUCCCCCUUUACCUUAUCUUGUCUUAUUAUUAAAUUGUACGUGAUUUAAUCAUGAUCUUUUAGAAAACAUCCAUUGUAACUAGCUCAGUAAUUUGAACACGUGGCUAAUGAACUCUGCUUCCUAUUUGCUUUGUCUACUUAUAGUUAUUUCUGUUGUUUUGAGCUUCACUCACAUGGUGUUAUUUCUCUUUUCCAAGCCUUGUCUUUUUCUAGAUAGCCAAACAUUCUUCAUAAUGGCAAAAAAGUAGAAAAUAAUACAAACUUAUUUUAAGUGUAAGAUUUUGUUGUUAGUCCAGUAAUCUUUCCUGCUCGGAUUUCUUUAUGUUUUUUCCAUUUUAUCUAUCUAGAUGAAGAAAUAAAGAGAUGAACAUGAAAAUCACAACAAGUAGAACUUAAAGAGUUAAGCUCGGAAAUAUAAAAAUCUUCACACAAUUUUGACAUUUAAUGUAGCAAUAAUAAUAAUGUAUCGUGUAAGUUAUAUACUAGUGAUGAACCAUCUGGGCAAGGGCUGUCCUGAUUUUUUAAUUCCCAUCAUGA